AAUGUACUAGUAGUAUAUAUGCCUAAACAAAUAUUGUGAUAUAUCGAUUGAGUAUUUGUCGUAGUUGGCACCCCUUGGUAAAGGGGUUGACGGCCCGUAAUGAAAGAGAAUUAAACUGCUAUGAAUAGCUCGCUCGCUCUCAUAUGGCUAAUUGUCGACUGUAAAAUACAUUUUGUGUCUUUCGUCGGAAGGAGGGAUUAGGAAACGAAGGGAUGAACUCGGAGGAUAUCGAAUUUCUUUUGGAGUGCUCUGUGUGUCUUGAGCAAUUGGAUGCCACCCAUAAAGUCCUUCCCUGUCAGCACACAUUUUGUCGACGAUGCUUGGAAGGCAUCAUUCGAAAGAGUAGGGGAGCCACCUACUUGUGCCCAGAAUGCCGUACGGAAUUUAAGUCUUCUCUGGAUGAUCUACCAUCUAAUAUUAUCCUGAAUCGUAUUCUGGAAAGCCUGGGGAAAAAUUCCAACUCCAACACACCAUGCAAACCCGAAACAAUCCCUGAAAACACGAAAGCAACUAGAGCACCACCGCCCAUAGUUCCUACACUUCCCCCUAAACCACCUCAAAACCGAGCCCAUCAAGUCUAUCGUGCUCUCUAUGACUAUCAACCAUGCAAAAGUGACGAACUUGAUCUUAAAAAAUCUGAACUCUAUAUCGUCAUUGAUCAGAGAAAAGAUGGAUGGUUCAAGGGCUCUUCCAUUCAAACUCUUAAAACGGGAUUCUUUCCUGGAAAUUAUGUUCAACAUAUCAAAUAUGAUAAGCAACAACUGUCAGCAAAUUCUUCUACCCAACAUGAAAAAGAUCUCAUUGAUUUCCGUAGCGAUCCAAUAUCUCCCUCGUUUAAACAUCAAAUGAAAGUAUUUAAUACUCAACACACCAUUGUUCCUCCAAAUAUAACAUCACCUUCUUCGACCAAAAUUCCACAUCCUAAAUCCACCAGGGGAGCUUUGGCUCCACGUGAAAAAUUUAAAUGUAUAGCCACAUUUCCUGCAAGUGGUAAAUAUGAACUAAAUAUGGAGGAAAAUGACAUUGUGUACUUGAAUAGCAGAAGGGAGGAUGGCUGGUGCAAAGGUACAUCUGAACGAACUGGACAAGUCGGCCUUUUUCCCAUCAGUUUUGUAACAAAGAUUAACCCUCAAUAAUUGAUCUUAUCUGUUCCUCUUUUCGACUACAGGAAGGAUUUUUUUUUUCUUAAAUCAAUUUCUCAUUCUCUCUCCUCUUGGUGUUCAAAAAUUCUGUAUUUGUCAUUUGAUUCACUAAAAAAAACUUAUGAAAAAAAGAAGCAACUCAUGUCUAAGAAAAAUGGAUGUUUUUAAUACAUUAUUUAUAAGUUCACUCAUUAUUUGGUGCUUCUGUUGGUUACGGUCUAAAUUGUAGUGAGUGUUGCCAUGUAGUCAAUAAACUAUAAUUAAAUAUAUAAAUAUAUUUGCAGCCUUGAAAAGUUAAUUAUUUAAGAAUCAUUAUUUUAUUUACUGUUGUCCAAAUAUCACUUAAUUGUAAUGGUAAAACACAAUUUGAUUAAUUUUAAAUAACGAUUCUUAGUUUUUAAUAAAAAAGUUUUAUGUUAAGUUAGAAAUUUUGUGCAGAUUUAUCAGUGUUAAAAUAAUAUACUCAUAUUAUUUAAUCUUAUUUCUUGUUUACAUUACAUUUAUAUGUUUAAUUAGUCAUAAUUGAAUUUCAUUGUAAAUAAACAAUAUUCCAAAAAGUUA
rnacentral:misc_RNA from 1 species